rnacentral:lncRNA from 1 species
AACAGCACUACGUACACCCGGUGGAAAAUUUGGGGGUUUCCGGUUUUCCAACCAGUGGUGCCUAUGGGGGUCAAACUAGUUAUGUAGCAUAUGACUAUGGCUCUGCAGCACCGUCGGUGUUCCAACCCUCUUCGAGUACCCAAUAGUCUAGACUCAGUAACCUAGUGAGCUGGAAACUUGUCGGUUUCCUCGAAAUUUGGAAGCCGAUCUUUUUCAUGUAGUCCUAUCUUGUUUUCAUGAGUAGUAAGUAAUCUUUUCCUAUUGGAGAUGGUUCAUAAUCCUGAAAAAAAGUAAGCUGCCUUGUGUCCUCAUGUGUUAUCAACAAUCUAAUUAGGAAUUAUUUCAUUGUUAGAGAGGAUGAAUGGAGGAAAUAUUGCAAUAAUGAAAUUGUAAUAUUUAGUAAGCUUUUAAUACAUGUUAGAUUUUGGUCCUAAUUGGAAUUUACGUAAUAUAUAUUUACUUUCUAGCAUGUAUAGUAGUUCUAUCAUAAUGCUAUUUCUAUGCAAUUAAAGAUUUUCGGAUCUAG